GCAGAAAGAGACCUCUUACUUACCAAGGACAAAAUAUAAGCCUCAAAGCUAUGGCCCCAGUGACCUACUUCCUCUAGCCAUCUUCUACCUGCCUAGAAUUACCAAUAAAUUAAUCAAUUUAAGUGGAUUAACGUGCUGAUUAAGUUAAGGCUCUCAAGACCUGGACAUUUCACCUUGCAUUGUCUUACAUAUGAGCUUUUGGGAGACCGCAUAUCUAAACCAUAACAGCCUUUAGCAAGUGUUUAGGUGCCCUCAUGAAAGAGUGUAGUGCAUUGAUAAAAGAAGUUUAAGAGAGCCGAUGAGUUACUUGUUUUUCUUUAUCUUUUCAUUUGGGAUUUCAACUUUCAUCCUAUUGAGAUGUGAGGAUCCUUCAAGAAGACUCCAUUUUGAAAGCAGAGCCUGAACUCUUAAUCAGACACUGAAUCUUCUGGUAUUUUGACCCUUGAUGUCUCAACCUCCAGAACUAUAAUUGAAUCCUAACAAAAAUGCCCGAUCUUGGAAGGGAAUCCUGCAGAAGUUUCAUCUUUGGCCACAUCUAUGUCUGGAUUCUUCAUUCAAAGAAACUGUGAAGAUCCGGCAAAUCGUUGGAGAAAGAGACUACAAGAGACCAGCUUCAUGCAAUGGGCAGGAGGGAGUUUAUUGAAGACGAUCCUAAUUCAGCACGCUGAGGCUCGAGGCUCACUCAGGAAGGGAGAGCGGUCCAGAGCCCCAGAGCAGAGCCUCUGGGACUUUCUUCUCCCCCAGCAACUGCAACAACAAUAAGAGCCUGUGAAAAUAUUCCUGAGUGCUUCCUGGGCAAGCACAGAGAUGUAUGUGGCUACAAAGGCAAAGAUAUCUGCUCCCUGACCUCCUUGUGUAUGUAUUUUUUUGUAUAUGAAGUUCAUUCACAAGUCAUUCUACAUUAUAACCCAAGGUGAGUUUUCUUGCAUUGUAUGUAUGUAAAUGUUUAACACAUGUAUAAAUUUAACUUUUUUCAUAAGAUGUAUGUUAUCUACAAAUUUGUACUUUGUAUUAUGUAUUAAUGCUUUUCAUCUGUUUUUAAAAAUGCAUUCAUAAUUAUUUUGCAUUUAUAAAACUUCAUUUUAGUGUUUUCUAGAAAUUUUAUCUGAAAUACCUCUGGUUGAAAAGAAAAGAAAAUUUUAUGGGACUCAUAAGACAAAUACACCUAGAAUAUCAUGAUUUAAAAAGCUGAUUUUUAAGGUGGCAGAUAUGUUAAUUAGGUUGAUGGAAUUGACAAUAAUUUACAAAUUAAUACAUUACUGUUUUGGUUUGGACAUGUAUUAUCCCCCACCAUGCUUUACAUUGCUCUUAUGUAAGACAAGGCAAGAAUCUUCAGAGGUGAAAUUAGAUUAUGGGAGCCAAAACCAAAUCAGUGGAUUAAUACAUGGAUAUGGCUUGACUGGGUGGUAACCAUAAGCAGGUAAGGUGUGGCUGGAGGAGAUAGGUCAC